rnacentral:piRNA from 1 species
UAGGGCCCAAUGUGACACCAAAGCUGA